GACGAACGCUGGCGGCGUGCUUAACACAUGCAAGUCGAACGGUGAAGCGCCUUCCUUUUUGGUGGGUGUGGAUGAGUGGCGAACGGGUGAGUAACACGUGAGUAACCUGCCCCCUUCUUCUGGAUAACCGCAUGAAAGUGUGGCUAAUACGGGAUAUUCUGGGUCUGUCGCAUGAUGGGUCUGGGAAAGAUAUUGUUUCGGUGGGGGAGGGGCUCGCGGCCUAUCAGCUUGUUGGUGGGGUGAUGGCCUACCAAGGCGGUGACGGGUAGCCGGCCUGAGAGGGUGGAUGGUCACACUGGGACUGCGACACGGCCCAGACUCCUACGGGAGGCAGCAGUGGGGAAUAUUGCACAAUGGGCGCAAGCCUGAUGCAGCGACGCCGCGUGAGGGAUGGAGGCCUUCGGGUUGUGAACCUCUUUCGCCAGUGAAGCAGGCCUGCCUCGUUUGUGGGUGGGUUGACGGUAGCUGGAUAAGAAGCGCCGGCUAACUACGUG
rnacentral:rRNA from 1 species